rnacentral:rRNA from 1 species
AUGCCGGACAGCAGCGGCGCCACCGUGCUGAACGAUCUCCCCGUGUGUCUCGUCGCCGACGAGAUCCUGGUCCGGCUGUCGCCCAAGCACGUGCUCCGCUGCCGCGCCGUCCAAAAGUCGUGGCGCGCCGCCACUUCCACCGACAAGUUCAUCCUGGACAACCACCGUCGCCAGCCGUCGCUCCCCAUCAUCCAGCGACACAAAGCGGGACUCUCCCGUUUCGCCGCCGCCGGGGAUCACAAGAUCUGGCCCGUCAUCCGGUACACCUGCCAUACAGUUUCCGAUAUCUCCGUCAUACACCACGCCGCCUGCGAUGGCCUCCUCAUCCUGUCGCGGGAGUCCAGCUUCUACAUCUGCAACCCGGCCACCCGCAAGUGCGCUUCCUUGUCACAUCCUCCACUGCGGCAAGGAUUCAGCGCCGCCACCGUCGUCGCCUUCUACCGGCACCAAUUGUCCGGAGAGCACCGCGUGCUCUGGGCGAUAUACUCGGCACCCAUGGCGAGGGGCGCCACGGUCAAGCCGCCUGCUUACUUCGUCCUCCCGGUGGGAUCUGACCAGCCGAGAUGUGUUCAAUGGCCGACAGAUCUAAGGAAUUUUCCUGCUACCCGGUCCUCGGAUUGCCCACCAGUACACCAUCGUGGUGGCCUGCACUGGGCACUGGGCCUCAGCAUAACGGUAUUCGACACCGUGACCGAGACAUUCCGGCAGAUGAGCCACCCGGCACAGUUGCCGGGUGACAUGGUGUUAUUGUUCGAUCUUGGUGGCGACCUUGCUUUGCGCCGCACGUCCGGCGACUGCGUCACUCUAGACCUUUGGGUGCUGCAGGACUAUGAUGCCGAGACGUGGGCAUUUCGAUACCGGAUUGACUUGCGGGUGAUGGAGGCAUCACCGCCGCUUAAUUUGAGUGUGGAGCAUGUCCCUAUGAUGGCUGUGAUCAAUGGCCGUGAGCUGUUGAUCCAACAUGGUCCUUACCGUCUAUUGCAUUGUGGCAUUGAUGGUGUGUUUUUAGGAAAUGUGGAAAGCAAAGACCAUGAAAACAUUUUGAGUCAGUUUGCAAAACCUUUGAAACUCACUAGGCAUCGCCUCCAGGAGAGCAUGAUUUCACUUCCAUUGUUUGAGAAACGACAAGAUGAUGUGAACGAGGAGCCUCCGUUCACAAUACUUCUAUAA